GGGCGCAGGCUGCGGGGUCGGCACGGAAGAUGCACGCGAGGCUCCUGGGGCUCUCGGCCCUGCUGCAGGCGGCCGAGCAGAGCGCGCGCCUUUACACCGUGGCUUACUACUUCACCACAGGACGGCUUCUGUGGGGGUGGCUGGCCCUUGCUGUCCUCCUGCCCGGGUUCUUGGUCCAGGCCCUGAGCUACCUGUGGUUCCGAGCAGACGGGCAUCCAGGGCAUUGCUCCUUGAUGAUGCUGCACCUCCUACAGCUUGGUGUUUGGAAGCGGCACUGGGACGCUGCACUGACCAGUCUGCAGAAGGAACUGGAGGCUCCCCACCGAGGCUGGCUGCAGCUGCAGGAGGCCGACCUGUCGGCCCUUCGACUCUUGGAGGCCCUGCUGCAGACUGGGCCCCACCUGCUGCUUCAGACAUAUGUUUUUCUAGCCUCAGACUUCACAGAUAUUGUGCCAGGUGCCCACUGGCUGGUGAUGACAUUCUGGCUUGUCGCCCAGCAGAGUGACAUCAUCGACAGCACCUGCCACUGGAGGCUGUUCAACCUGCUCGUGGGGGCCGUGUACAUCCUCUGCUACCUCAGCUUCUGGGACAGCCCUUCUAGAAAUAGGAUGGUCACGUUCUACAUGGUCAUGCUG
rnacentral:lncRNA from 1 species